UUUUUUUUUCUUUUUUUCUUUUUUUAAAUUGAAGUGUAGUUGAUUUACGAUGUUGUGUUAGUUUCAGGUGUACAGCAAAGUGAUUCCGUUAUACACACACACAAAAUUGUAUGUGUAUAUAUAUACAUUCUUUUUCAGAUUCUUUUCCUUUAUAGGUUUUUGUGUUUUUUACAAAAUAUUGAGUAUAGUUCCCUGUGCUAUACAGUAGAUCCUUGUUGGUGAUUUAUUUUAUAUAUAGGACUGUGUAUAUGUUAAUCCCAAACUCCUAAUUUAUCCACUGCCCCCCCUUCUCUCCCUCCUGUCUUGAGAAGUAAACUUGACUUUCACAAAAUGCCAAAAAGUUAAGAAAAAUAAAUGAUUUUGAAUACAGCCCUUGUCACCAACAUGCAAUUGUAUAUAAUUGAAUGCACAUCUCUAAGAGUGAUGAUGUAGCAAUAGUCUUCAAAGCACAGUUUACGCAUGUUUCUCCCACACGUCAAGCUUCAUUUCAACAGCUCAGUAAAUCCAGUGGAGCUUUCCACGCGUGUUCCCGGGAGGCGGGUCUUGGCUGAGCUCAGGCUCUUGAGAACAGUCAUUCUUAGUGUACAGUUUCUGCAUCCACAAGUCACCUGGAUGUGUGUGUAACUUCAGACUCUUUAGCCUUACUCCAGAUCCACAGACUUAGAAUCUUAGGAGUUGGGAUCCGAAACAGGCAUCUCUAACAGGCACUCUCCUGGUCAUUUUUGUGUAAAGCAAAAGAACAUUCUUUUCCAAGCAUGCUUGUCAAAGUCGAUGUAAAUGCCAUCAAUCAACUGGUCAAACAGAACAAACUUGAUCCAGUGUUUGGGGUGGGUGCCGCUACCCGGCAGAUCUAGGAGUUUUAUUUGGCAUCUUAUAGUCUCUCCUCCCCAAAGCAAUAAAUAAUGAUAUUAUAUUCUUUAUGUGCGGCUGGCCAUACCAAGGACCUUAGGCAACUGAUUUCUUGCUUUCUUCAUCUGCAGAGUGAGAGGUUUUGCUUAACUCUCUUUAAGCAUCUUUUUUUUACUAGAAUCAACACACCAAGCAGGUAGCUGCAGUGGUGACCCAGUACCUUUUCCCCUUCCUGUCCUUACCACCUUCCCGCAAUGACACAAAUGUUGGCCACCAGGAGAUUAAAGGCAGAGAGGGGUUCCCUGAUGGCACAGUGAAUUAAGGAUCUGGUGUUGUCCCUGCUGUGGCUCAGGUCAGUGCUGUGGCACAGGUUCAAUGCCUGGCCUGGGAACUUUUGCAUGCCGUGGGCAAGUCCAAAAAAGUAAAUAAAUGAAGGCAGAGAAAGAAGACAUAUGAUUAGCACAGCAGAAGCACGUCUUAAGUAAACUGUGCCUUCAGACUGUAAUUAUUUCCCCCGUCUUCCUUCUUCUAAUGCAUAAUGUUCUUCUUUCUUCUGUUACGAAGUGAUUGAGUUCAUCAUCUUUAAGUUGUUCAUUUGAUGUUUGAACACUUGGGAGUGUCCAUUGCAUUCCAGGCCAGGCUGUGGAAUCAGAGCUGCGGCAGCUGGUCUACACCACAGCCACAAUACCACCAGAUCCAAGCCCUGUCUGUGACCUACACCACAGCUCAUGGCAAUGCCGGAUCCUUAACUCACUGAACAAGGCCAGGGAUUGAACCCACAUCCUCAUGGAUGCUGGUUGGGUUCAUUACCGCUGAGCUACGAUGGGAACUCCCAUGAACAGAUUUUUUAAUUAAGGUGUACAGCACAAGGAACUUUACCCAGUAUUCCGUGAUUAUUUAUAUGGGAAAAGAAUCUAAAAAAGAAUGGAUAUGUGUAUAACCACAUCACUUUAUGGGUAGCAGAAGUUAUCACAGCACUGUUGAUCAACUAUACUUCAAUAAAACUUAAAAAAAAUCCGUCUGGGAGUGUCCUGGUAGCUCAGUGGGUUAAGGACCUGGCAUUUUCACUGCUGUGGUGUGACUGACUGCUGGCCCAGGAUCUUCUGCGUGCUAUGGGCACAGCCUAGGUAAAUAAAUAAAUAAAUAGGAGUUCCCGUUAUGGCUCAGUGGUAAUGAAUCUGACUAGUAUCCAUGAGGAUGCAGGUUCGAUCCCUGGCCUCGCUCAGUGGGUUAAGAAUCUGGUGUUGCUGUGGCUGUGGUAUAAGCUGGCAGCUACAGCUCCAAUUCAGCCCCUAGCCUGGGAACUUCCAUAUGCUGCAGGUGCAG
rnacentral:lncRNA from 1 species